rnacentral:rRNA from 1 species
GAUUAGAGACGAUCAUGGCUCAGAGUGAUCGCUGGUGGCGUGGAUUAGGCAUGCAAGUCGAGCGAUCCGAAUGCUUUUUAUUUGAAUAGCGGCAGACGGGUGAGGAACACGUGAGUAAUCUGCCCUUGAAUCAGGAACAGCUUCGUGAAAACGGAGGUAAUGCCUGAUACGAUUGGAGUAGCGCAUGUCACUCCCAUCAAAGACAGGGACCGCAAGGCCUGUCGUUUAAGGAUGAGCUCGCGUCCUAUCAGCUAGUUGGUGAGGUAACGGCCCACCAAGGCUUUUGACGGGUAGCUGGUCUGAGAGGAUGGUCAUCCACACUGGGAGUGAGACACUGCCCAGACUCCUACGGGAGGCUGCAGUCGAGAAUCUUUAGCAAUGGACGAAAGUCUGACUAUGCGACGCCGCGUGAGGGAUGAAGGUUUUCGGAUCGUAAACCUCUUUGGGCAGGGAAGAAACCUUUGAUGUUAAUAGCAUCAAAGCAG